rnacentral:rRNA from 1 species
UGCCUCAGUAACGGCGAGUGAAGCGGCAAAAGCUCAAAUUUGAAACCCUCGGGAUUGUAAUUUGAAGAUUUGGCAUUGGAGAAAGCUAACCCAAGUUACUUGGAAUAGUACGUCAUAGAGGGUGACAACCCCGUCUGGCUAACCGUUCUCCAUGUAUUGCCUUAUCAAAGAGUCGAGUUGUUUGGGAAUGCAGCUCAAAGUGGGUGGUAAACUCCAUCUAAAGCUAAAUACUGGUGAGAGACCGAUAGCGAACAAGUACUGUGAAGGAAAGGUGAAAAGAACUUUGAAAAGAGAGUGAAAUAGUAUGUGAAAUUGUUGAUAGGGAAGGAAAUGAGCGGAGAGUGGUUGAGGUUUCAGCCUUCCYUUGGGGUGGUGUAUUGCCGACGCCGAGUCAUUGUUCGCGAGACGAGAAAAACAAACGGGUUGCAUUCAUGCUUCUCACCUUUUUCUCCCACUGCAGUCAACGACAUAAUCCGCCCAUUUCACCCGUCUUGAAACACGGACCAAGGAGUCUAAUGGAUAUGUGAGUGUUAGGGUGCCAAACCCCAGCGCGCAAUGAAAGUGAAUGAUUCGUUCAGAAUCGACCGAACUUGAUUUUUAUGACAGUUUUGAGUAAACACAUCCAUUGGGACCCGAAAGAUGGUGAACUAUGCCUGAAUAGGGUGAAGUCAGAGGAAACUCUGAUGGAGGCUCGUAGCGGUUCUGACGUGCAAAUCGAUCGUAGAAUUUGGGUAUAGGGGCGAAA